UUUUAAUAAUAAACUGCACAAAAACUAAAUAAUAAAUGUAAUAGCUAGGAACAGAAUUCUACAACCUAUAUCCAAAAGGGUAACUAUUUAAUGAGGUUAUUUUUGCAUAAUACUGUUUGAUUUUCUUUUCUGAAGUAACAGGACUCAAACAUAUUUUUAAAUGUUUGCAAAAGUUUGGACAAAAUAUAUUGAUAUUAUGCAUAUUAUACAUAAAACAUCUUUAAGUGUAUGGAUACAUUGUGAAAUGCAAGUGCCAGUGCUGCUAAAGCAAUACAUUUUCCAUACAUUGUG